rnacentral:sRNA from 1 species
AAAAUAUCGAUAUCUUAGCUGCUUUUUAACUAAAAGUAAUAUGAAGUCGAAACAUUCAACUAAAACUAAAAUGCUAUGAAAAUGUUUUUUAACACAAAUUCAGCAAAGAUCAAAUGAAUAUUUUUAAAAAAAUUAAACAGAAAGUUUGCGAUAGUUUUCAGUGUAUUUAAACUUGUAGCCCACGGAUGCAGUAUUGAAAUCCGCCAAUUUCGAACCCAUUGAAAUGUUCAUUUUUCGUUUGACGGUGGAAAAUACAUUAACCUCUAUUUAA